UUCGUGGAAUAACAGACGCUGGACCUGCUGUUCGACGCACUAUUGUGGACAGACGAAGGAACCUUCCGCUGCGGUUGUUUUUGUCCAUAAUGUAGCUACAAGAGAUACAUUAUGAAUGCCGGGGAGCUUCUUUUCUUGCUGUUUCCUGUCCAGUGGAGCGGCCGCACUCAACCCCAGUGGCCUCUUUUCGACCACUUGGUUGUGUGGCGAGUUUUUGCCCGAAGAAAAGUCGAGUUUUUUAGCUGUUUGCGUUUGCCAGCGGAGGCGUGCUUGUGUAAAGCACAUGCAGGCCUGAAAGUUCGACGUUUUCCCGGCACGCACUCAAAUUCUGUUGUGUUCGUUGUACUCUGAUACCUCCCGCGGAAGUUGAACACAUCCAUGUGCUUCGGACCGGAGGACGACUUCGGAAGAAAACGCGACGAUGUGGUGCAUUCUCUAACACGAUCAUAUGGACCGUUCCCCUUUGUUCCAUUUCAGUGACGGGAACUCUUUCGUGUUAAUCUCAUCUGGCGUGGUUUGAAUAAAGAUCCAUGUCAUGGCCCAUCUCCGAGACCCGGCAGCGGGCCGCCGGGAAAACGGAUGCUAUUCUUCUCCGUUGACUUACGUAUUUCUUCAGUCGAUGGACAUUCUACAAUGUGAUGAUACUGUAGAAACAUCCAAGAAUUCAACAUGUAUGUAUGUAAAUGCACGAGUGUACGUGUUGUACAUGUACGCAUGAGGGCUGUCUGACUGCCAAGACUACGAAUACAAAGGGGUAAUAUAAAUCGUGAAUGCGAAAUGAUCUGUACAAAUAGGUUCAAGUGCUUGCAUCCACCAAAAGGAAUUGCCUAUUAGUCUCGGGCAGCUGCGGUUUCCUAUUUCGGCUGCACAUUUAUACACACCUUCGCUUCUCAUUCGCUGAAGGAUGCCAUAGGUGCAACUUACCUAUACAGCGAACCCCUCUGGAGUGUCUUCUGCACCAAUGUCUCUUCUGCAAGCAUAGGCUGACGGCUAGAGAUGCGCAGGUGAGGCAGUGAUCCUUUCUGCUCAUGGCACUCGCUCCUUCUUCACUUCUGUCGGCACUGCUUCUCCCUCUCGGUCUGCGGUGCUUCUCCUGUUCCGUGUUGGACUGCUUUCUACGAAGGGUCGCAGUUGUUGCUUCCUGAAUGCCGG
rnacentral:lncRNA from 1 species